UUCAAAGAUAAACAAAAUCCAGUUACAACUCCGAACCGCUAGAUGGCAGCAGUACACAAACAAGGGGCCAAAUCUCACGAGAAAGAUUUCCGCUGUUUGAAAAGCAACAACAUCAGCGAGCAGCCAUGAGGAAAGCAUGUACCACACUCGUUUGGUCUUGUGUCAAAGCUGUGCGAAACUGGAGGGAGAAACUUGAGAGACCGUGCCGGAAGAAUGCUGGACAGAGUUCACUAAAAUUCAUUCAUUUUAAAGUUCAACAUGAAUGGUGGUGGUCCACUGCAGAAGCAAGCAUUUGAAAAAACAUCAGUUCUCAGUUAUUAAAGAUGCUGUGUUGAACAACUUCCCAGCAGCAACAGAACUGGAAGUGAAGGAUGCAAUGGGGGCAUUUCAAACAGGCACCAGGGAGCACGGGGGGGGGGGGGAUAGAAAUUAGUACAAUUAAUAAGUUGACGUGAACUGAAGAUAGUUUGUUAAUGUUUAGAUGUUAUUUCAUUUUUAAAAUU